GUGCCAUCAUCCGCGGUAAUACGUGUGGUGCAAUCUUUAAUCAGAAUUACUGGGCGUAAAGAGCUCGUAGGCGGUUUUUUAAGUCAGAUGUGAAAUCCCUGGGCUUAACCUAGGAACUGCAUUUGAAACUGAAAAACUAGAGUAUCGUAGAGGGAGGUAGAAUUCUAGGUGUAGCGGUGAAAUGCGUAGAUAUCUGGAGGAAUACCUGUGGCGAAAGCGGCCUCCUAGACGAAUACUGACGCUGAGGUGCGAAAGCGUGGGGAGCAAACAGGAUUAGAAACCCCAGUAGUCC
rnacentral:rRNA from 1 species